rnacentral:lncRNA from 7 species
CUUUCGUUUUCUUUCGUUUCGUUUCGUUUCUCUCGCCGGUAACGGGCGGGCAGCGGCCGAACGGAGCCGCCAGGCCACCGUGCUGGCGGGUAACGCACCGAGCGAGUGGGCCGCUGUCCGCCGAGCCGCUCCACGCCGAGAGUUCCCCCGGGCCCAGAGCUGCGCCUCGGCCCCACCGAACGCACCGGUGCGCUGCGGCGGGCGGUACCGGGACCCCAUGACGGGGCCCCGCGGCCCCCGGGGCGCUCGAAGGGCUCAACGCCUCCACGGAGCGCGGAUCGGGCGCGCCAAGUGGCGGGCGGGGGGGGCCGGGUGGGAAAUUUCGUUGUGAUUAAAAUGCUGCCGCCCCGCAGGACUCGGAUCGGCGCCGAGGCGAGGCGGCGGGGACCCGGGCGCACGGCGGGCAGUGAACCUCUGUAUCCUUCCAAGUUCCUGAGCUUUACUCAAGACCAGAGGUGCAGAGUCAAAGGAAAAAUGGGACAUUUGCAUAAACAGAUUGAAGACAGGCAAAUACAUCAUUAAAGGGCGCAACAUGUGAGUAGAGAUAAAGAGAUAAGUGAUAGUUCUGGCCAUCAGCUAAGAGCCACAUCAACUGGAUUUUCUUCUACUUGAGGAUAUCUAUGCUUGGUCAAAAGAGAUGUGCUAAAUCUUGUCGUCUGUGGGACUUUAGUCUCAUUCCUAUGCGAGAUUGACAUAAGCAAGGUCUAGGUGAACAUGAUCUAGACGAACGUGGGGCUACAUGGGCUGGAGAGCACUCAGAAGAGCAAUUAUUUGUGCUCUGACACUGGUAGAGACCUAGCAGUGGGCCUAGUGCUAGCCAAGCCUUUCAUCAUUGAUUGUCAUUAAGCAGCACCAAUCUGGUAGGGCCUGCAAGAGUGCAGUUCAGCUUUUCUUGACAAAUUGAAAAAAAAAACCAAACUAUUGAUACAAACAAAAUAAGGCUUUUCUAUGAGUUGGAAAAAAAUCAACUGCACACCCACUGGCUGGGAAUUGAGCUUGUUCUGUGGGAAAGUAGCUGGAGGUGACAGUGGGACCCAAGGGGAGCACGAGCCAGCAGCAUCCUGCUGAGUGAGAAGAGCAGACUCAGACUGGGACACAUAAAUAAGGUGUCUGUGGGACACCUGAUGUGAUCCUGCUGCACUCAGAGUGUCAGCCUAAGUGCCGGUUCCCACUUCGGGCUGAGUGUUUCAAGUCGUGGUUCUGGGAGAAAGCCCAGGGAAGAACACGGGUGAUCAGAAAUGCAGAAAACAUGACAUACUGGAGGAGGCUGAAGGACCAGGAUAGCUUAGUAUCAAGAAGAGACGACUGUAGGGAAAUAAGAUAAAAGUCUUCAAAUGCAUAAGGCACAGCUACAAAGCGAGAGAUAAUAGGCUAUUCCUUGUUUUCAGGGUGGAAAGAACAAGGAGCCAUGGGCUCACCCUGCAAUGACAGCAGCAAAGGAGAAUUAAAACUCGUUUUUCUUGGGAGCCGUCUUCAGCACUAGCGGCUUCUUGUCGUUUAGACAAAACUCCACCAGGAAGGGUUUGCCUCCUUUGGCGGCAGGCAGACAGGCUGGGUGAACUUUCAAGGGCCUCCUAGGCUUAUAUUUUAUGAUUCUGUGAAUACGGAUACUAGAAAGAGAUCAUUUUGCCUCUAGCCAGUCUAUUCAGGACGGGUCCUUGCCAGGUGUGUUUGUCUUCAGCGGUGGAUGUCGUCCAGGUUUUCCAUAAUCUCCACCAACAUUUUUGUUAUUUACUCCAAAGCACUUUUUUUUUUUUUUCUCUCUCUCCAUUUUCUUUUGCAAAUCCAAAUCCAAUCUUUCGCCCAUUUCUG